UACGUAGGGGGCAAGCGUUGUCCGGAAUCAUUGGGCGUAAAGCGCGUGUAGGCGGCUCCGGUUAGUCGGCUUGUGAAAGUCAAAGGGCUCAACCCUUUGAAUGCCGGUGGAUACUGCAGGGCUAGAGUCCGGAAGAGGCGAGUGGAAUUCCUGGUGUAGCGGUGAAAUGCGCAGAUAUCAGGAGGAACACCGAGUGGCGAAGGCAGGCUCGCUGGGACGGUAGCUGAACGCUGAGGCGCGAAAGCGUGGGGAGCAAACAGG
rnacentral:rRNA from 1 species